rfam:Clostridium sp. CAG:167 genomic scaffold, scf109
GCGGAUGUGGCGGAAUUGGCAGACGCACAAGACUCAAAAUCUUGCGGUGGUGACAUCGUGCGGGUUCAAGUCCCGCCAUCCGCA